GGGGGUAUAAUUUACGGUUAGAAAAUCAGAAGAAUAAAAGUCACGGGUGCGAUUAGCAUGGCCUUUAGGCCAACACGAAAUAUAGGGAAGUCAUUGGGAUUCUGUGUAAUCGGCGUUUGAAUCUACGGUGUACUAACGGAGAUCUAAGCUUUCAGAUUGACUCAGGUGGAAAACCUACUAGGAAACAUGGAAAAUGUCAGGAAAUCUGGCAUGACUUAGACAAGGUAGGGAGACCCAUACGGCACCGGCUCGACGCGAGCCUGCAGCACAAUUAGUAGCGACACGGAGACGGGGUCGAGUACGAGUACCCGUCCAAAUGGAUGAGUGAUCAGUGCAUUUUGAUACACAUUUCUCUAUGUUUGUACUUAUACAUUUCCAUGCUUUAGCAGUCUGCACUAAAACAAUUGUAACUGGAGCUCUGGGAAUCAGAUUGAAGUGUUCUAAUAAUCGCCGGAAAGUUAAGAGAAAGAGCUACGACUUUCGUGUUGGAGUCGAAGUCAAAUUCAGAGCGCAUAUUUUCCAUAAUUGCGUUUGAAGUUGCAGCAUUAGUUUUUUUAUUUAGUUUUGGGUCAUUUGUAUUGGGUUGGGUUAUGUAUUUGACCCAAUUGAGCUGUAAACUGUUUGGUUCUCUCUAGUACCUAGGUUUGGCCGUACAAUUGACUAUUCACGUUUUCACUAUUCACGAAUUCAUCUUCAAAACUUUUGCUUUGUACGAACCGUAUGGAUAGCUAAAUUUUUCAGAGUCAGUCUGCUGUAA